UGGGCCCAAACCAUGAGUUAUAAAGAAGCCCUGCUAGAAAGUAAUUUUCUACUCUAAGUCCAUUCUAUUUUCAUGUAUGCUAGAAUGAUGAAUAAUAUAGUGUAGAAUUGCUUUUUUUCUGAUUUAAUACUACCAUAGGAACUCCUCUCUAGAAUAAUAUCAAUUAAAAUUCUCUGUGGCAGAUGUGGGUUGUGGGCCUGGUCAAAAGGCAUAAACUCCCAACCCCCACUAUGAUUGUUUUCAUAGAGGAUUUCUAGACAGUACUUUGAAUGAUCUCAGCCAUGCAUUGCAGUUAAUGAAGGAGGCACAAUUUCAUAUCAGGCUUCUUAACUCCUUGGCUGCUGUGGAAUAUGGCUUUAUUUUUCAUUUGGUGGGCUGGAACAUCCCCUCAGAUUAGAGAGAAGGCAGCCCUUUGCAGUUUAUAAGCACGGCUCUGUUAGGAGUAAGUAAUAAUGGCAUGGACUCUGAUUUUUUAUAGUCAAUUUUAUUUCUGCUUUAAGGAACAAAUUCUUCAUUACAUUUGGAAGCAGAAGCAGAAUGGCUGUUGGUAAAAGUUAAAGCAUGAAUAGCAUCAGCGAAGAGCAAAAACAGGAUCUGGCACACUCUUUCUGCCUGGGAGCAAGUGAGAACAAAGAUGACACUUUGAACUCAUAGCUGCUGUAACUCCUUCCAACGCAGAACAGGACAAAUGGGCAAAGAACCCCAGCUUCCAGCUUCUCCCUGCACAGAACAUCCAGUGAUCCAGCUCUUCUGGAGGCUGGCUUCCGUCUUCUCAUCUUGGAACACUGAUGGGAUUUGACAUGCUCUUGAUGCCUAUGCGCCACUAAGGACAAAGAAAGGGAGUGCGACUAGCAGGAAGACUGGAAAGGCCACCAAAAUCUCUGGCCAACCUGAGACCCAACAGGUCCCAAGUAAAAUGAACCCAAAGAAAUCCAUACUGAGACACAUUGUAAUCAAACUGACUAAAAGUCUAAGACAAAGAAUUUUGAAACCAGCAGGAAAAAAAUGACUUGCCAUGAGAAGGAAGGAAUCCAUUAAACUACCACUAGAUUUUUCAGCAGAAACUUUGUAGGCCAGAAGGGAGUGGGGCAAUAUAUUCAAGAUCCUGAAAGGACAAAUCUUGCCAACCAGGAAUACGAUAGCCCUUCAAAAAGGAAGGAGGGAGAAAGUCUUUUCCAGGCAAACAAAAGCUGAGAGAGGUCAUCAUCACAUAUACGCUUUAUAAGACAUGUUCAAGGGAGUGCUUCAAGUUGAAACAAGAGGACUUUACUGAGCAAUAUGAAAGCAUCUGAAAGUGCAAAAAUCGCUGGUAAAUAUAUAGACAAAUACAGCAUAAUACUGUGAUGGUGUGAUUCUGUGCUGGUGGUGGGUAAAUCACUUUUAAUUCUAGUAUAACAGUUAAAAUACAAAGAUUUUAUAAAUAGCUAGAAAUAAAAAAACAUGCUACUGGAUACAUAUUUUUAAAUAUGUUCAUGUGACAUCAAUGGGAUGUGUGCCAGAUCCUGUUUGUGCUCUAAGACAGAAACUAAAAGUAUUGAGUUUUUGUAUGUGUUUAAAGUCCAGUUAUCAGUUUAAGAGACUAUUAAAAGAUAUUUUAUGUAAGCUCCAUGGUAACCACAAAGAAAAUACCUAGAGAAGAUACACAAAAGAAAAAGAUAAAGGAAUCAAAGCGUAUCAAUGAAAAAAAAUCAGUGAAACACAAAGGAAGACAUAGAUGAACCGGAGGAUGUUAUGCUAAAUGACAUAGGACAGUCACAGACAGACAAAUACUUCAUGAUUCAACUUAUAUUAGAUAUCUAAAAUAGCCAAGUGCAUAGAGGCAGAGUAGAACAGUGGGUUUAGGGGAGGGGGUAGCUGGGGAUAGUUGUCCAAUGGGUAUGAAGGUUCAGUUACACAAGAUGAGUCAGUCCCACAGAUCUGCUGUACAUUGUGCCUGCAGUUAACAGGACUGUAUUGCACACUUAAAAUUUUGUUAAAAAGGUAGAUCUCACGUUAAAUGUUCUUUUAAAAAAAUUAAAUUGUCAAGGGCAUUCCUCCUGAGGGUAAAUAAAAUUUAAUCCUUCUGGGGAACAAGGGGAGGUUAUAUAGAACAAACACCUUGGUUAUUUUGCUCAGGGGAUGAGGUAGCUCAGUGAUUACCAUGCAUUCCUCAGUCAUUUUUACUUGAAGGCCCAUGGAGGAAGCUAGGUGGCGUUAAUUCCCACAAAACUGCCAGCCCGUCCCACGUGUGAACAGAAAGGGUUUCCUGGUCAGAGAAAACCUGAGGCAGGUCAAAGGUGCCAGCUGGGCAGUUAGAAGUUGGGCAGAGCAGGCAUGGGUGUGGUUAAGUCUGAAGGAUGUAGGCAGAACACCAACGAUAUUGACUUCAUAGGUGUGAUUCUUGUUCCAUUUAGCAAAAGGGGAAACUGAGCAAGAAAACGUAGAAUCCUUGCUCGGUCUCUCAGUUUCAGUAGAGCAGAGCUGAGAAUAAAAAUCCAGGGAGGAUAUGAAAUAAUACUUAUCCUACAGGAUUGUUGUGAGCUUAACUAUACUUCAAAUGCACCUAGCAAGCAGUGAGCAUUCAGUAAAUAACAGGCUCCCCAUAAUUGUCAUGCUCCCAUAUGCCUGGAGUUUUCCAACAAGAGACUGGACAGCUUGAUCCAUAAAGGACCAGGGGCCCUGUGUUUUAAUCUCAGCCACACCAGCAAUAACAAUGAUUUGGAGCAUUGUGAUACAUUUACUGAUUUCUUUCUGGUGUGGUAAAAAAAAAAAUCAGUUCUUCCCCUUUAAAUGUAAUUUUGAUGAAACAGUGAAAUAGUAAUCUUUCUUAAAAAUCUUGAAAUUAAUGAAAAAUGAAGUGACACAUUCUUUUAUAUGACUCAGCAUUUUUUUGUAUCAUUAAUCUACAAUUACAUGAGGAACAUUAUGUUUACUAGGUUCCCCCCUUCACCAGACUCUUAGCAUUUUUGUACCCUCCUUAUCUCUUUCACAUACACCUAUUAAUGCCUGGUCGCUACCAUAGUUAAUAUACAUUGCUAUAUACAAUAUUUUAAUUAAAGUUUGAAUAAUGUAGGAAAGACACUAUCUUUACACAGCCUUGAGAAUCCAGUGUGAUCAAAUUUUUAAAACUUUGACAGAUGAAAAGGAUACCUCAAGAUAAUUCCUUUUACUAGUAAGAUUGAAUAUCUUUAUAUACAUUUUAGGGCCACUGCUAUUUUCUUUCUUUAAUAAUAUGCAUUUUCCAUUGAGUUAGGCAGAAAUUUAAGGUGAGAAUUCAACCUAGGUGACAACUUGAUUUCAGCCUCAUGAGACCUGAAGCACAGAGCCCGGUUACACCAUGUGAGACUUCUGAUCUCAGCACUGUGCAAAUAUGUGAUGUUUUAAACUGCUGAGUUGGUGUUAAUUUAUUACACAGCAAUAGGAAAGUAGUGUAUCCAUGUUUCUACAUAACAUUCAUAUUUAUUUUUAAGACCAUCACAGAAUAUGCCAUCAUUUGCCCCUGGCAUAAUUAUUUCUUUACAGUUGAUCAUUUAGGUUGCUUUUAAUUGUUUGCUAUUAUAAAUACUACAGUAAUGAACAUGUCUAUACACAUAGCUUUCCCCAUAUUUAUCUUUUAUCAUUUUAUUUGCUUUUGUAUAGAGCAGAUAAUAUAUUACCUGUUUCAAAAUCCAAAUGUACAAAAUGAUGAACAGUGAAGAAUUCUCAUUUUAUGCCUUGACUGUACAAUUUCCCAAGCCCCAAACAAUCCAAGUAUUAAAUUAUUUUGAAUCCUUCUUGAGACAUUUUGUCUUAAUGGUCACAUACCAUGUCCAUUCUUCUGCAUCUUGCUUUUUCACUAAACAAUAUAUUUUGAAGACUUUCUAUAUCAGCACCUAAAGAAUAUCCUCUCUCUGGCUGAAUAAUAUUUUAUUGUAUAAAUGUACCAAAAUUAUUUAACAUUUUUGUUAUUUAACCAUAAAUAUGCCAUAAUUUAUUCUGUUGUAUAAAGUACCACAAUGUAUUUAUGGCUGGACAUGUAAGAGUUUUGAAAAUUUUGUUCCUGGUCACAAUGGGCAGAUAAUAUGGACCAAAUUCCCUUUUGGACAACCCAAAAAGCUAGUAAGUGCUUUUCAUUUUGUUUUGUUUUGUUAAGAUGCCUGCCUGAAGAUAGCAGAGAGCUAAGAAAAGAGUUCUGAGGAAUUACUUGGUCAGUUGCUGAGGGGAAUGGAUACUCACAACUAAGAGCCCAGCAUUUGAGACUGCUUUACACCUGCUCAGUGAGAAUGCUGAGGACUUUGGGACAAUCUCGUGGGGCCAAGAGGAGUCUGGGCCCCUCCAAGGCAGCAGAGCCCGGGUCAGUCCCUCGGCUUUGGGACAGCACUCCAGGGAUGGGAGUGAGACAGCCUGGGAGUGAGAAUUAAUCUCAAGUGACAAACCUCAUAAGGAACUGGCCACAUCCUCUUAAUUCCUGAAAGUGAAUUGAGAUGAUCCAACAUUGUUAAUAGCUCUUGGCUGAAGCAAAGGUAAACCUUCUCUUAACAACAAGCUUGGCUUCAGAUUAUUUUUAGAAACAAUUUUACAGAUACAAAGUCCCCACCGCUAAAACCAGCCAAAGCAAACAAACAACACGGGAGGAGACAUGACAACCUGAGAAAAAUUAUUAGAAACCAAAAAAAAAAAAAAAAAAAGACAUAUCCACAGGGGUCCCAGAAUUUCAGAGACCAACUUGAAAAUAAGUUUCUAUUGUUACUAUGUCCAAGGCAGCAAAGGAAAAAAAAUAAUAAUGAUUUAGUGGAGAAUUGGAAGCAAUAUUGUUUUUAAUCUUUUGCUCUAACAAAUAGGGCAACACUGGAUGUACCUGUGUGCAGGUGAAUUUGUAUACAGGAGGAACAUGUGGACUUGAUGAAUAACAAGAAUGAGGCUACUGAUUCAAGUAAAAUAAAUCAUCUAUUAUUUUGAAUCCGGAUUCAUCAAACGGAAGUCCAAGUGACUGAUGUGGCUUCACCGAAUGAACUGCCUGCCUUUGGGGAAUGUGCUGACUCAACCUCUGCAAUGUCAGUGGCUGUUAAAGUUUUGUCUUAAAGGGGGUUUCACCCUAAUUGAAAAAUUCACCAUCUCUGCUGGAAACAUGAAGGAAGAACGUAUCUGUAACGCCCCCAUCUGCUUGGUGCCACUUUGUUACAAACCCUCCUGGCUGCUAGUGCACAGUGCCCCAUGCCCUGAAUGGUAACACCAUAGCCCCAGGCACGCCAUGAGCUUCAGUGACUCUUCCAAGGAGGCCAGCAAAUCUGGGGCUCAGAAUGAAAGCCAAGCCUGUGGGUGCUUCCUGGUCCCCUCAACUGCUUUCUGACUUGCCUCUUGUCCAUUUUGUGGUGAAGCGGUUACAACCUUGAACCAAAUAACCAGCACAGUUUUCUAGAGGAAUGCCUAUUUAUCAUCUGCCAAAAAGAUCACACAAAAUGGUUGGGUGCCAUCCCUUGUGUGAAUUCAUCUUGGUAAAGGAGUAAGUUUGUAAAACACUUGUUUAUUGUGUCAAGUAAUAUGAUAGAAACUUUAAUGGUAUGUUCAAAUAAGCUUCUGAGGUUUUAUUCUAUCAGUUAUGCAAAUGGGGACCAAGCCCCAAGAUCAUAGCAGUUAGGAGAAAACAUAGGAUUUGAAAUCAGGGAUGUCUUACUUCAAAGCCCCUUUUCCUUCUCUGAAGGUUCAUAAACACACAUGCCUCUUCUUCUGAAAAAGAUGGCUACUUAUUUCUAGUUGGAAUCUGCUCUUAUUUUUCUUUUAUUCCCAGGUCCAGUCAUAUUUUAUGUUCUCUAAAAACUUGAUUAUGACAUUCCCUAUUCUUUAAAUGUGGCUUAGUCAACAGAGUCUAUUUUUAAAUAAUUAUGAAAAGAUACAGUGCCAGUCCAAAUGCCAGUCUGCUGGCUUUAAGCUUUUUUUUAAUACCCAGUUUCAACUUCAUGACUUAAACAGAAAUUUAUUCUGGAGACUUUAGCAAAGCUUGCCUCUCUUGCCAUCUCCUCUUAGUAAGCAAACCCUGGACACUUUCCUCGCCACAAGUGGUUGAUGGCAGAGUACAUCUUGUCGCCAUCCAAAGCAGAUCCUCUUGAGCGGCCUGUUCUCCUGGCUGGAGGGAAAAAUAUGAUCAUGACCCCACAAAAAGCAGAUGGAGUUUUCCAUACAAAACCAUUACUCGUGGAUUUCUGACUAGUGGCUUUCUGUUCUUCAGAAUAGUGACUUUUUCUCCCUUGCCUCCUGCUGUCAUCCUAUCUCAGGAGUGAUGUUUGGCAUCUCAAGCUUAAAUCCAAAGAUGUAAUAAGUUUAUAUCAUCACUAGGAUGUAUAAGACUGGAGAUAGCUAUGACUAGGUCAGGCAAACAUUGCAUCCAGUGCAAGCAGUAGAUAAAAAUAGAGGUCCCAAUAAAAGAAUGACAGGGUCAGGGGAAGUCGGCUGCUAGGCUGUUAGGAUUUAGUAAAAUGAUGAUGAUAGAAGUGAGUCAAGGAGAGUCAGCUGUCUGGAUUGUUGGGAUUUAAUGAGAUGAUGUCUGUAACAGUCUGAAGUGUGAGGCUUUGCUUCUAGCAAAUUCUCAAUAAAGGGCAUUUACUCUGAGUACCAGGGUCAGUGCAGAAACAAUGGCCAAUUAGUAGAUGAAUCAGUGACUUUCUAGCUUUUGGCUUUAUGGAGCAUUGUUUUGUAAGAAUCUAAAUGGACCCAAAGUCUGGAGCUAACAGGAAAGUGUUUAAUAAAUGAAGGUGAUUAUUUUUAUUGCCACUCUUAUUCCUACCAUCAGCAUUAGCAUCAGGGGAGACAGUUAAGCUGUCAGGUGAUAAGUGCAAUGAUAGAUACAUGCACAGUGUGAUUAAAUGCACCCAAAGAGGCAAAGCUAGUUAUUUCCCAUCUUCAUUAAGAGAAGCACAAAAUUAAACAAGUCCUAGUAGGACUGAGGAGCUCUGAGCUCUGUCACCAGCUGUGCAAUUGAAUUUCUUGCAGCCUCAUUGGCUCCUCAAGGAUUAGAUACAAUAACAGUUCCCAAAAUUUCCCAGUAUGAAUUCUAGCAUCCCAUCCUAGCCCAUGGAAUCAAAAUCAUCCUGGUGGGUGCUAGGAAUGUGCAUUUUGAACAAACAUCCCAAGUGAUGCUUAUGAUUAGGCAAGUCUGAUAAACACUGGAUUAGAAUAAUCUAUAAGGCACACCUACUCUAAAAUUCCAAUAAAGCAGGAGUUUCUGUUAAAGGAACCAUUUUUGCCCAGUCUCAAUUUCAGAGUGAGAGCUAUUAAAUCCUGGAAUUGGAUCCCACUGGCUGUGUGUGUGUGGCGGGGUAGGCAGGAGUCAGGGAAAUCAUUGUAAUGAUAAGAUAUUUAAAUCCGAGGUCAUCACUCUGCAGGAAGAUUUAGGAAUAGCUGGAGGGAGGGAGAAGAGAUGAACAAAUAACCUCAUGACGUCUCUCAGAAGCCUAUGAUUCCAAGAGAAUGGCACAGGUUUCAUGCAUGAUCUGCCCUGUUUACCUUCUCUUGUCUGAGGUCAGUGAGUCAUGAAAGACUAAAAUUGUUAUAGAAAUGUCAAUUUAGAAGAUGUCUUUGUUUUAGUUAGAAGGAUUUUUGUGGAAAUAUGACUUAAGAUUUGGUGUCUCAAAAGGUGAGGUGGAUUUCCCUGGAAAUAGAAUCAAGAAAACCCAAGGAAAUGGGAGAUUUAUUUUGUAUUAAAUACUUGGAAAAAGACAGGAAUCUCGAUCCAUUAGUCAUACCCAGAUGCCCAGUGGUGGUACUUCUCCUCUGCUGACUCUCCUGGAAAGAUUAAUGGUUCUUUAAUGUGACCUUAACUUUCCGCUCUGGGCUCUCACCUCCAGUCUGAGUUGUCUGUUUACCUCAUGACUGAACUGUUCUAAUAGGCAACUCCUCUGGUUAAUUGUCUCUAGCCUAUUUCUCUCUAAUCCAUUGUAUGCAGGCCUGCCAAUAAUAUUCUUGAAAUGCUCCUCUGCAAACAUCAGUACCUUUUUAAAAACCUAAGUGGUUCCCCUUGUGUUUAUAUGCAGGUAUUAUAAAGUUAAAGAUUCUCAGGUGGUUAGGACCUCACAGUCAUCCCAGUUAGCUCCUCAAAUCCAGACAUUUUUGUCUGGCAUUCAAGAACCUCUUAUUUAUUGCACAUAUUCAUCAGGACUCUUGUUUAUGAAUGACAGAAACUGGCUAGGGUGAGAAGGAAAAGUCAAGGUUCACAAAACUAAAUAAUAGGAAGAAAAGACGAGGCUGGAACUAGAGCCUUGAGCAUCAUCAGGAUCCUGAGGCCUAGGUCUCUCUGCUAGCUCUCUUUCCUGCUGGAGCCUGGAAGCCUUAGGCUCACACUUUUUCAGCUUUUCACUGGACAGAAGAAAGUCCUCUGUAAGUAAUUCCAAGUACACAGAUCCUAAGAAAGGUCUGUCACCGAAUCCCUUGGGAUAACUGUAGGGAAGAGUCAGGGUAGGCAUAAAGAGAGGGUAUUAUUAUCAGCCUCUAUUGGGACUAUGGUUGAGUUGAGGGUGGGGUGAGAAAGAGAAAUUGCCUAAAAGGAGGUGCUUUCCAGACUAAAAUGAAGAGUUCUAGAUAGAUAAGGCAAUUAGUUUUAUCUAUUACAACCCACAGUGUGUCAGUAAUAAACAUCUAUGAGCUUAUUUUAUAGUAUUCUUUGAAUUUGAAUAUAAGCUGUAUGAAUUUAGACAAUGUUCCCUCACAUGUUAUAUACAGUUCCACCUCUAUGGCUUUUCCAAUAUAAUUCCUUAUGUCUGAAAUAUCUCACCUAUUUCUCUCUGCCUAGAUGUGUCCAUAAGACCUGACUGAAGCUACUGCUUCCUGGCCUGCCCUGGGCUUCAGAGAUGACAUUUGAUGACUGUGUCAUGUUUAUACAAGCCAACUG